GACGAACGCUGGCGGCGUGCUUAACACAUGCAAGUCGAACGGAAAGGCCCUGCUUGCAGGGUACUCGAGUGGCGAACGGGUGAGUAACACGUGGGUGAUCUGCCCUGCACUUCGGGAUAAGCUUGGGAAACUGGGUCUAAUACCGGAUAGGAACCAUCUUUAGUGUGGUGGUUGGAAAGUUUUUUCGGUGUAGGAUGAGCUCGCGGCCUAUCAGCUUGUUGGUGGGGUAAUGGCCUACCAAGGCGGCGACGGGUAGCCGGCCUGAGAGGGUGUACGGCCACAUUGGGACUGAGAUACGGCCCAGACUCCUACGGGAGGCAGCAGUGGGGAAUAUUGCACAAUGGGCGCAAGCCUGAUGCAGCGACGCCGCGUGGGGGAUGAAGGCCUUCGGGUUGUAAACUCCUUUCGCUAGGGACGAAGCUUUUUGUGACGGUACCUAGAUAAGAAGCACCGGCUAACAACGUG
rnacentral:rRNA from 1 species